GUAUAUUAGAGAAUUAUAUAUAUAUAUAUAUAUAUUAAUAAUGUAAAAGAGUAAGUUAAGAACCAAAAAUUUAGAGGUGAUUAUUGGUUGAACUUCUAAGAUUUUAAAAUUAAAAUAAUAUAAUAAUGUAAACACUAUUAAUUUUUUAAAUUAAAAAAAUAAUUAAUAAAUUGAAAACUUAUAAAAAUAAACAUAAAACAUAUUUGAAAAAAAAAUUCAAAAUUAUUAAUAACAAAAAAAAACAAUUAAG
rnacentral:lncRNA from 1 species